CUCUUUUUUCGCUUGCAAUUUAUUGAAGAUAGGGGAUUGUCUUAGGGAGUUCCUACAACAUAGAUUAUGCUGAUGAUGUCAGCACAUAUGAUUGUUCAACAUUGUUCACAUGAGCUGUUCAACAUUACUUAAUGACUUGAAAAUAUUUUUUAUUAGUUGUAGAAAACUCAACAAUUUUCAAAUAUUGCUUUGGCUACAUUCACCUUCAUUCCUUUGGGAUUCCACUUAACAUUUAUUAGGUCUUUUUGCUUAAUUCCCUAUGUCUCUUCUAUACUUUCCUGUAUUUUCUACUCUUGUGUCUCCCUUCACUCCAAGAAUUUACUUCUUUUUUGUUUGUUUGUUUGUUUUUGAGACAGGGUCUCGCUCUGUCGCCCAGGCUGGAGUGCAGUGGCAUGAUCUUAGCUCACUGCAACCUCCGCCUCCGGGGUUCAAGCAAUUCUCCUGCCUCAGCCUCCUGAGUAGCUGGGAUUACAGGCACCCACCACCACACCCAGCUAAUUUUUGUAUUUUUAGUGGAGAUGGGGUUUCACCAUGUUGGUCAGGCUGGUCUUGAACUCUUGACCUCAGGUGAUCCACCCGCCUCGGCCUCCCUAAGUGCUGGGAUUACAGGCAUGAGCCACUGUGUUUGGCCAGAAUUCUGACCUAUAUAACAGUUUAUCAACUUUUUUCAUCUAUGUCUAAUUUUAAAAAUCAAUUUAUUGAAUUCUCAAUUUCAGUAUAUUUUUUUCAGGUUGACACAGUUAUUUUAAAGCCUGUGUCUGAUAAGUUGAUCAUGUGGUUCCCCUGUGGGUCGUGGGUCUGUUUCUGUUUUUCAUGAUGUUGACUUCUCUCCUGGUAUACCUGGUGGUGGCAGUGGUGGCUUUGUGUGUUGAUACUGGAUGGGAGAAAUAGUAGGAAUUACUUCGAGGGAGGAUGAUGUUUUCUCUUCCUUCAGAAAGGAUUUACUUUUGUUUCUGGGGGAUGGGUAGGGGUAUUUAUGAUCCUGGAUCACUUUAAUCCAGAAAGGGUUUGAGAUUUUGAAGUUGGAUUCAAUUCCAGAUUCUAGUUCAUCAUUAACUUGCACUGUGGUGGGGAAGAUCUCAGUCCAAAACCUGGAGUGCUGACCAGGGUCCCUUUUCCUUGGUGGGCCCUGAAGUCCUUUUUGUCUCCUAUCCCUGCAAGUUUUUUGAAACCUCUGCUCCCCUCUGAUCUACUUCAUCAGCAGAUGUCCCUAGGGGUUAGCAACCCCAAAUGCUAGGCUCACUUGUUUAAGUCUACUUCUUCACAAUUUUGUAAUUUUUCACUCCUUUGUUAGCAGUCUGAUGCUUUCAAGCAGCUGUUUUUGUUUUUCCAAGCUUCUUUCUCUCUCUCUCUCCUUCCUUCCUUCCUUCCUUCCUUCCUCCUUCCUUUCCUUUUCCUUUCCUUUUCCCCACCCCCGUCUCUCUCUCUCCAAGCAGCUGUUUUUGUUUUUCCAAGCUUCUUUCUCUCUCUCUUUCUCUUUCUUUAUUUCUCUGUCUCCCUCCGUCUUGUCUUUUCCUUUUCUUUUCUGUUGAGAUGGAGACUCACUCUGUCGGCACAUACCACCACACCCAGCUAAUUUUUUAUAUUUUUAGUGGAGACAGGGUUUCGCCAUGUUGGCCAGGUUAGUCUCGAACUCCUGACCUUAGGUGAUCCACCCACCUCGGCCUCCCAAAGUGCUGGGAUUAUAGGCAUGAGCCACUGCGCCCAGCCUGUUUUGCCAAGCUUUUCUGGUUGUUUUCCUUCAGUGAGAGAGUUGAUGGAUAUUACCUAGUCUGCCAUUACUGGACAUCAUUCUUUUUUACUCCAGCUUCUGAUCCUUAUAUAUAUAUUUUAUCUUAUAGGAAUGUGUACUAUUUAGUUUGCUUCCUUGUAAGAAGCUUUCAAAUGUCUCAUUUGCUGGUGCCUGUUCAAUUAAGCUUUGGAUAACAGUACAAAAUUUGGCCAACAUGAAUGCCUAGUUCACCGCUAAUGAAAGCUGGGCACUGCAAAUGUUCUGCUAUGCUCCAGAAAUCAGAAGUUGCCAGCUUUUAUAUCUAGACUGUGAUUUCCUCAUAGAGGAUUUUGUACAUGCCAAUUCAAAGUUUAAAUUUGUGCCAUGUGUGAAUAAGUGCACAAAAUGCUCAAAUAAGAAUGAGAAAAAUAUCUCCUUUUCCCAUCCACAUUGGGAUACCUGAAACAACUAUGAAAUACAGUUUUUCUUCCAGUUUUCCAAAAUACUUAUCUGGGUUGAGACCAAGAAUGGAGCAUUUUAGGCCAAAAUGCUUUUUUAAAAUUUUAUGAUUUAUGAGUUUAGAAAAAAUCUCUUUUGGACUUUAAGCAUAUGUUAUUUUUAGGAUAUCUUAUUCAUGAAUAAAACAAAUUUUUUACAUAGGUGAAAUAAUUUAGGUGUUUGUAUAUUAUGAGUCAGUUAUUUCUAUAAUAUAUGACUAGUUUAUAUUUGUAGUUUUUCAGUUACAUUCAGUAGCCCACAUUUGUUUAGUAACAGAAUUAACAAAAAUUGCUGUCAUUAUUUUGAGUUAAUUUUCAACUCGUAUUUUUAAUUUGCUAAAUACAUUCUAGCACUAUUAUAUUGUCAGAGACCUUAAUUCAAGUCUUUAUUUAUAAAAUUAUGUGAAAAAUUGAAAUUAUUUGAUGUUUUAAUUUUGAUUGCUCUGGACAAAGACAGUAUUUCCAUCUUGAUGCUUCAGGAUAAAAAUUGCGUUAAACAAUACUUGAAUUUAAGUGUGGUUUAAAAUAUUUCUUAAUUCUAAAGCUCUCUGUAGUUCCUAUUUUCUAAGCAAUAUUAGCUAUAUUGGAUCUUCUAGAUGAAGAAAGAUUUGACUAUGAUUAAAUAUGUGCAGUGCCAUCCUGGAAUAGAUUUUAUUCAUAGAUUAAUAAAAUAUGUGCAGCAUGAUUUAGGAGAAAAUAUUUUAGGACAUUAAAUUUAGUUACAUAAGCUACAGUCUGUUUUAAAUUCUGUGCAACCAAAAUCUGUUUUGCUUUAAAAAGAAAAAAUGUUCAUAUUUCACUGGGAAAUGUAGAGUAUUUGUUUUCCAAGACCAUCAAAAUCAUACCCAAUCAUACUUUUAGGAAAUUUUCAAAAUACUAGAUUUAGCCUUUCAACUUAAUGACGAUUGUUAUUGUCUAAUUUUCUUACCUGCACUUACAGUAUUAAGAACACUCUGAUUUGGUUACAUGUUUCUUAUAGUACCUCCUUGGUUCAAAUGUAAUUCUUUUCUGAUAUUGAAUAAACUGUAAUGUCAAGAACCUA
rnacentral:sRNA from 1 species